GAGCUAACGCGUUAAGUCGACCGCCUGGGGAGUACGGCCGCAAGGUUAAAACUCAAAUGAAUUGACGGGGGCCCGCACAAGCGGUGGAGCAUGUGGUUUAAUUCGAUGCAACGCGAAGAACCUUACCUGGUCUUGACAUCCACGGAAGUUUUCAGAGAUGAGAAUGUGCCUUCGGGAACCGUGAGACAGGUGCUGCAUGGCUGUCGUCAGCUCGUGUUGUGAAAUGUUGGGUUAAGUCCCGCAACGAGCGCAACCCUUAUCCUUUGUUGCCAGCGGUCCGGCCGGGAACUCAAAGGAGACUGCCAGUGAUAAACUGGAGGAAGGUGGGGAUGACGUCAAGUCAUCAUGGCCCUUACGACCAGGGCUACACACGUGCUACAAUGGCGCAUACAAAGAGAAGCGACCUCGCGAGAGCAAGCGGACCUCAUAAAGUGCGUCGUAGUCCGGAUUGGAGUCUGCAACUCGACUCCAUGAAGUCGGAAUCGCUAGUAAUCGUGGAUCAGAAUGCCACGGUGAAUACGUUCCCGGGCCUUGUACACACCGCCCGUCACACCAUGGGAGUGGGUUGCAAAAGAAGUAGGUAGCUUAACCUUCGGGAGGGCGCUUACCACUUUGUGAUUCAUGACUGGGGUGAAGUCGUAACAAGGUAACCGUAGGGGAACCUGCGGUUGGAUCACCUCCUUACCUUAAAGAAGC
rnacentral:rRNA from 1 species